rnacentral:tRNA from 1 species
UGGCUCAGUGGUUAAGAGCACUGGCUGCUCUUCCAGAGAAUCUGGGUUCAAUUCCCAG